CGGGAAUAUUGGGCAAUGGGGGAAACCCUGACCCAGCAACGCCGCGUGAGUGAUGAAGGUCUUCGGAUUGUAAAGCUCUGUCUUCUGGGACGAUAAUGACGGUACCAGAGGAGGAAGCCACGGCUAACUACGUGCCAGCAGCCGCGGUAAUACGUAGGUGGCAAGCGUUGUCCGGAUUUACUGGGCGUAAAGGAUGUGUAGGCGGAUAUUUAAGUGAGAUGUGAAAUCCCCGGGCUUAACUUGGGGGCUGCAUUUCAAACUGGAUGUCUAGAGUGCAGGAGAGGAAAGCAGAAUUCCUAGUGUAGCGGUGAAAUGCGUAGAGAUUAGGAAGAAUACCAGUGGCGAAGGCGGCUUUCUGGACUGUAACUGACGCUGAGGCAUGAAAGCGUGGGGAGCAAAC
rnacentral:rRNA from 1 species